UCAAACAGAAACUUCCAACUUUUGAAAUACUGAAGACCUGUGCAGCCAGGUGAAGUGUAGAUUCUCAGGCCCCCUCCCAGCGUGUCUGAUUCUGUAGCUCUGCAAUGGCGCCCAGAUGUUCUAUGAUCAAAUUUAGAGAAACAUUCCUCUGCUACACUCAUUUGGCUUUCAUUGGACUAUUUUGAGUGCCUACCCUGUGGACACGGGCCCAGCAGAGAGAAAAAGAGGAGGAGAAAGGAAGAGAAUCUGGAAGCCAGCUCAUGGAGAGAAGAGGGGAGGGCCAGCUAGCCUCUGGCUGCUACUCAAUUCCAGUGUGACAGGGGCAAAGACUGGACGCCUGACUGGAAUUUAAAGCAAGGCUCAGGGAUAAAAAUGUAUGUGAGCACCAAGCCCUGCUCUCUCGGCUUCCUUCUCCGAUUGGCAGCUGUCCGCUUUCUGGGGUCUGAGAAGAGAGCCUCUGCAAAUUGUCAGAGGAGGGGUCGGAGGCAGGAAGGCAGUCCUCUGCCACACAGGUCAGAAACAUGGGUCCCCUGGCGGCCCUGUCCCCGCCCCCCGCCAUAGGAUGUGACUCGCCACAGGAGGGCAGCACCAUCCUGGACCCUGUGAAGUCUGAGGCAAGUACGGAAGGAAUGGGGAUAGAGGGGCUCCCAGCUGCCACACCCCUACACCAGCGGAUCCCAUGAUGGCUUUCAGAACUGCCUGGAGACCUGCAUCCCUAUGGACAUGAGAAGCUGCUGGUGAUAAUGGAACAGAGAGACAGAGUAGAAACAGGAGAAGCAGGCAGGAGGGGGUGGGGCACUUUCCACUCUCCAGGGCUAGAGAAAGUCCCGGAAAAACCCUCUGGGCCCCACUGCAGCCUAGGAAAAUAAAGCACAGCUAACAACA